UUUUAAUCUUCCUUCAUAAUCUAUAUCUUUCCCUAACAUGCCAGCCGCCUCAAUAGUCAAAACUUCAAGUAUAGAGGCACUUUCCACGACAUGUAGCAGAGAUUCAAGCUCGCCUGUCGAUGCAACAAAUCCAGUAAUAUGCAUGUUCUUUAGAUAGCCGUAUUCACCUUGUGGAAGCCUCCUGAUAGGCUGAUAAUACAAGUGAAAACAUAUAGUACUCACAUGUAUUUCUAACUUCUCUAUGCAAGGACUGGCCCUGAGAAAAGAGGCCAAAGAGAGGAUGUUGCCCGAAUCAUGAUAAUAUAGACGUAAUUUUAGUUGUAAAUAUUUCAGAUGAGAAAACUUGCACGUGUUCUUCAGCAGCGAGGACACCUGAAAAGGUGAUAGCAUCCAAACUGAGGGACUGAACACAUGGAAGCAUACUUGGGAGUGUAGUAAGAGCAUCCUCAAGAUGUACAGAGCCAAAAAAAUGAAGGCUUGCUUCCUUCAGUACCAGAGCAUGCCCAAGAUCAAUAGGAUGUCGCAUCCCAUCAUACAUAAAAGCUUUGAGGUUGAUGGCAUUAAGUUAUAACUUGGUUAUAUCACAGUAUGUGACUCGUAAGUAUAGAAGGCGCGGCAAUGGAUGUGUCACCUUUAUUUCACCACCAAUAUGGCAUCUAACUAAACUCAACCAUUCAAUAUUAAAGCAUUGUGAUAACAAAUCUUGAAGAUCCUUCUGAGUAGAUCGUAUUAAGUGAAGGUCAAGAUUCCUUAGGUUUAGAAAACCACUGAAAUGGGGAGGUAGUUCCAAAGAUGCAAAGCUAAGCUGAAUAUGCUGUAGACGGGAGAUGCUUCCAUUGUCGAAACGCUCAAAGGGAAAUCUGUAUCGAUCAAGAAGACCAACAGGAUUGGUUGGCACUAAAUCAAAAGCCAUUUUUUUUGUCUGUGAUGAUACAACAAAAUCAACCAAACCAUUGAGGUGAUCAACUAGCUUGCUGUCGAAUUCAAACUUCACCUCAAACUCUUCAACAAUCUUGCCAGAGUGCUGCUGCAAGAUUGCAUUAA
rnacentral:sRNA from 1 species